UUUCACUUUGCCGCUGGAAAAUCUUUGCAUCACAAUCAAGAUCUUAUUUCUGAUUUGUUGGACGUUCAGCUAGGAAACCAUAAUAUAACCCACAAAAUAAACAAGCUAUCCUUUGGAGAAGAGUUUCCAGGUGUCGCCAACCCACUUGAUGGAGCAAAAUGGACACAUCAUACAUCG